GGUUCUCAUAUGAUCACAAAAGUUAAGCAACAUUGAGCCUGGUCAGUACCUAGAUGGGUGACCAUUUGGUAAUACCAGGUGAUGUAA